UACGGAGGGGGCUAGCGUUGUUCGGAUUUACUGGGCGUAAAGGGCGCGUAGGCGGCGUGUCAAGUCAAUUGUGAAAUCUCCGAGCUUAACUCGGAACGGUCAAUUGAUACUGAUGUGCUAGAGUGCAGAAGGGGCAAUCGGGAUUCUUGGUGUAGCGGUGAAAUGCGUAGAUAUCAAGAGGAACACCUGUGGUGUAGACAGCUUUCUGGACCAUUGCUGACGCUGAGACACGAAAGCGUGGGUAGCAAACAGG
rnacentral:rRNA from 1 species